rnacentral:rRNA from 1 species
CCUACGGGAGGCAGCAGUAGGGAAUUUUCCGCAAUGGGCGAAAGCCUGACGGAGCAAUACCGCGUGAGGGAUGACUGCCUAUGGGUUGUAAACCUCUUUUUCAGGGAGGAAUAAAUGACGUGUACCUGAAGAAUAAGCAUCGGCUAACUCCGUGCCAGCAGCCGCGGUAAGACGGAGGAUGCAAGUGUUAUCCGGAAUCACUGGGCGUAAAGCGUCUGUAGGUGGCUCGACAAGUCAACUGUUAAAUCUUGAAGCUCAACUUCAAAAUCGCAGUCGAAACUAUCGAACUAGAGUAUAGUAGAGGUAAAGGGAAUUUCCAGUGGAGCGGUGAAAUGCGUAGAGAUUGGAAAGAACACCGAUGGCGAAGGCACUUUACUGGGCUAUUACUGACACUCAGAGACGAAAGCUAGGGUAGCAAAUGGGAUUAGAUACCCCAGUAGUCCUAGCCGUAAACAAUGGAUACUAGGUGUUGAAACAGAUCGACCUGUGCAGUACCAAACGACUAACGUACGUUAAGUUAACUCCCGUCCGUCGGGUAAGGUAGUGCGACGCGAAGUAGUAGAAACUACAAUAGAAGUUAGUACGGCGUGAGACGUCGCCGAACGGACGACGACGAGGGGAGGUAGG